rnacentral:misc_RNA from 1 species
AAGUCGUAACAAGGUUUCCGUAGGUGAACCUGCGGAAGGAUCAUUACAGAGUUCAUGCCCUGACGGGUAGACCUCCCACCCUUGUGUAUUCAUACUUUGUUGCUUUGGCGGGGUGCUCGACUGCAAAGCCGAGCCUCAGCUCCUCGAGUUGAGAGUCCCCCGCCGGAGGAAACCCAAAUUCUGAUUAUUAGUGUCGUCUGAGUACUAUAUAAUAGUUAAAACUUUCAACAACGGAUCUCUUGGUUCUG